AUACGGAGGAUCCGAGCGUUAUCCGGAUUUAUUGGGUUUAAAGGGUGCGUAGGUGGUUUGAUAAGUCAGCGGUGAAAGUUUGCAGCUUAACUGUAAAAAUGCGGUUGAAACUGUCGGACUUGAGUGUAUAUGAGGUAGGCGGAAUGCGUGGUGUAGCGGUGAAAUGCAUAGAUAUCACGCAGAACUCCGAUUGCGAAGGCAGCUUACUAAGCUACAACUGACACUGAAGCACGAAAGCGUGGGGAUCAAACAGGAUUAGAUACCCUGGUAGUCCACGCAGUAAACGAUGAUUACUAGCUGUUUGCGAUACACAGUAAGCGGCACAGCGAAAGCGUUAAGUAAUCCACCUGGGGAGUACGCCGGCAACGGUGAAACUCAAAUGAAUUGACGGGG
rnacentral:rRNA from 1 species